rnacentral:lncRNA from 1 species
UAAUAAUAAAAUAUUUCAGAUUAGUCAAAAUAGAGAACAUUGCUGGAGGAAACACCUUUUAAGUGGUUUGCUAUAAUAACUUUUUAGCUAUUUUAGCUAGAAUUUAGAGAUUCUUCUAGAGAUGCGCUUACAAUUGUGGAGACAAAAAGCCUACAUUUCAGGGCACCGUGAAAUAGUAUUUGGAAGUCAGCCUUUUCUUUGGCCCUGGGAUGAUUGGAUUGGAGUUUCAGCAGAUAUGGUUGUUGGCCUUUUUGCAUCCUUUUCUCCGCCAAAUUGCUCAACCUUCAGAAAAGAUGAGUGGAGAGUAGGUUUAUAUCAACUUCAUGACCUUGCCGCAUCAUACAAUCUUGACAGAGCGAGCGGGGUAUGUCGCCAGAAAGAGACUUAAAGUCCACGUCAAAUUUUUGGCAGAAAUCAAAGCUCAAGUGGUGGAGGAGGCUCUUCAAUAUGCUGAAAUGAAAACCCUUUCGUUUUGUUCCGCAAUGCCAUGCGCUGUCAGAAAAGUUCCCCCUUCUCAUUACUAGAAUUAGCAAGUCAACCUGUACUAUUAAAAUUACGGGUUAACUUUAGUUCAAUCGGUCAUGACAUGUCUAAUAAAUAAGUGAAUUGAGGGUCAAUAUGCUAACUCAUG